rnacentral:rRNA from 1 species
GACCAGACUCCUACGGGAGGCAGCAGUGGGGAAUAUUGCACAAUGGGGGAAACCCUGAUGCAGCGACGCCGCGUGAGCGAUGAAGUAUUUCGGUAUGUAAAGCUCUAUCAGCAGGGAAGAAGAUGACGGUACCUGACUAAGAAGCCCCGGCUAACUACGUGCCAGCAGCCGCGGUAAUACGUAGGGGGCAAGCGUUAUCCGGAUUUACUGGGUGUAAAGGGAGCGUAGACGGCGAUGCAAGCCAGAUGUGAAAGCCCGGGGCUCAACCCCGGGACUGCAUUUGGAACUGUGUGGCUGGAGUGUCGGAGAGGCAGGCGGAAUUCCUAGUGUAGCGGUGAAAUGCGUAGAUAUUAGGAGGAACACCAGUGGCGAAGGCGGCCUGCUGGACGAUGACUGACGUUGAGGCUCGAAAGCGUGGGGAGCAAACAGGAUUAGAUACCCUGGUAC